GACGAACGCUGGCGGCGUGCCUAAUACAUGCAAGUAGAACGCUGAAGGAGGAGCUUGCUUCUCUGGAUGAGUUGCGAACGGGUGAGUAACGCGUAGGUAACCUGCCUGGUAGCGGGGGAUAACUAUUGGAAACGAUAGCUAAUACCGCAUAAGAGUAGAUGUUGCAUGACAUUUGCUUAAAAGGUGCAAUUGCAUCACUACCAGAUGGACCUGCGUUGUAUUAGCUAGUUGGUGGGGUAACGGCUCACCAAGGCGACGAUACAUAGCCGACCUGAGAGGGGGAUCGGCCACACUGGGAAGGAGACACGGCCCAGACGCCUAGGGGAGGCAGCCGUAGGGAAUCUUCGGCAAUGGACGGAAGUCUGACCGAGAAACGCCGCGUGAGUGAAGAAGGUUGUCGGAUCGUAAAGCUCUGUUGUAAGAGAAGAACGAGUGUGAGAGUGGAAAGUUCACACUGUGACGGUAUCUUAUCAGAAAGGGACGGCUAACUACGUG
rnacentral:rRNA from 1 species